rnacentral:rRNA from 1 species
AGAGUUUGAUCCUGGCUCAGAACGAACGCUGGCGGCAGGCUUAACACAUGCAAGUCGAACGCCCCGCAAGGGGAGUGGCAGACGGGUGAGUAACGCGUGGGAAUCUACCCAACCCUGCGGAAUAGCUCUGGGAAACUGGAAUUAAUACCGCAUACGCCCUACGGGGGAAAGAUUUAUCGGGGAUGGAUGAGCCCGCGUUGGAUUAGCUAGUUGGUGGGGUAAAGGCCUACCAAGGCGACGAUCCAUAGCUGGUCUGAGAGGAUGAUCAGCCACAUUGGGACUGAGACACGGCCCAAACUCCUACGGGAGGCAGCAGUGGGGAAUAUUGGACAAUGGGCGCAAGCCUGAUCCAGCCAUGCCGCGUGAGUGAUGAAGGCCUUAGGGUUGUAAAGCUCUUUCACCGGUGAAGAUAAUGACGGUAACCGGAGAAGAAGCCCCGGCUAACUUCGUGCCAGCAGCCGCGGUAAUACGAAGGGGGCUAGCGUUGUUCGGAAUUACUGGGCGUAAAGCGCACGUAGGCGGAUAUUUAAGUCAGGGGUGAAAUCCCAGAGCUCAACUCUGGAACUGCCUUUGAUACUGGGUAUCUUGAGUAUGGAAGAGGUAAGUGGAAUUGCGAGUGUAGAGGUGAAAUUCGUAGAUAUUCGCAGGAACACCAGUGGCGAAGGCGGCUUACUGGUCCAUUACUGACGCUGAGGUGCGAAAGCGUGGGGAGCAAACAGGAUUAGAUACCCUAGUAGUCC